rnacentral:lncRNA from 1 species
GAGACUGGCUUCAUUGAUUAUAAAAUGAUCUACAGGAGCCUCUGUUCUUGAAAGGAAGGGGAGAAGAGAGGAGAGAGAAGGAAGGGGAGAGAAGAGAGGAAGGGAGGAACUGGACAAGAGCUGUUUGAAGGAGUCCAGGUAAAAGAAGACUGUAGCUGGUACCACAUUGUUAGUAGUUGAGGACCUCCAGUACAAUUUUCAGGAGAAGUGGCAAGAAUGGACAUCCACCUCCCACCAUGUGAUGACAUGGUAAGAAGGCCCUUGCCAGAUGCUGGCACAUUGAUACCAAACUUCCCAACCUCCAGAACUGUGAGCCAAUAUAUUUCUAGUCAUUAUAAAUUACCUAGUCUGCAGUUUUGUUAUAGCAGCACAGAACAAAGAAAUACAGAUCCUCCCUGACUUAAUGUUGAGGUUAUGUUCUAAUAAACUCAUUUUAACUUGAAAAUAUUUUAAGUUCAAAAUGCAUUUAAUAGAUCUAAACUACAGAACAUCAUAGCUUAGCCUAUCUUAAACAUGCUCAGAACACUUACAUUAGCCUACAGUUGGGCAAAAUCAUCUAACAUCAAGCCUAUUUUCUAAUAAAUCUUAAAUAAUUUUUAAAUAUUUCGUGUAAUUUAUUGAAUACUGUACUGAAAGUGAAAAACAGAAUGGUUGUGUAGGUUCUCACCAUUAAUUUACAGAGUUGAAAGUCCACUGGACUUGAAGCUUGAGACAUUAAACUAAAAUCUAUUGCUGGGUGAUAAGGAUGCUACAACAACUGGGUUAUCAAUUUCUUUCUCUUCUGAUGAAACUUCAGAAUAGUUGGUAGAAGGCACUGAGACACUGACAUAUUGAUUUAGCAGGCAUAGUGUUCUUCAGAAAGACAUCGAGUAUUGGUUAUUUAUCCUCAUGUUACAUAUUUUACAUCAUUUGUUACUUCUCCCAUAUUUCUGAUUAUUUUAAAAAUUUUUGUCAAAAAGAAAUGAUCAUCAGAUUUGAGAAGAUCUAUCUGCCCUUAAGUUCACUAACAUUUACCAUCUAUACUUUGUUAAGAUCAUACUGUAAACAUUUUUAUUCAUUUAUUAUACUUUUCAGUUCUAGCAUUUUCAAUUUUUGUUUUUUCACAGUUAACAUUUCUCUUUUGAAAUUUCCUCUCUGUUGACUCAUUAAAACCAUUUUUUUCCAUAUUUGGCCUGGUUUGGUUUUUCUGUUGCUCUGACAUUGUGGAGAAAUUGUUCCCAGGAAGAUAAUGUCAUCUCUGAAUAACGAUAUAUAGUCAAUUUUCAUGCUGCUGAUAAAGACACACCUGAAACUGGGUAAUCUAUCAAGAAAAAGAGGUUUAAUGGACUCACAGUUCCACAUGGCUGGGGCUGCCUCACAGUCAUGGCAGAAGGCAAUAGGCAAGUCUUACGUGGCGGCAGACAAGAGAAAAUGAGACCCAAGCGAAAGGGGAAACCCAUAAUAAAACCAUCAGAUCUUGUGAGACUUAAUUACUACCAUGAGAACAGUAUGGGAGAAACCACCCCCAUAAUUCGAUUAUCUCCCACCAGGUCUCUCCUACAACAUGUGGGAAUUUUGC